GCGCGGUUAGCUCAGUUGGUUAGAGCGCCAUCUUGACACGGUGGAGGUCAGUGGUUCGAAUCCACUAUCGCGCACAA
rnacentral:tRNA from 1 species